rnacentral:rRNA from 1 species
AUGAAGGCCUUCGGGUUGUAAACUGCUUUUGUACGGAACGAAAAAGCUUCUCCUAAUACNAGAGGCCCAUGACGGUACCGUAAGAAUAAGCACCGGCUAACUACGUGCCAGCAGCCGCGGUAAUACGUAGGGUGCGAGCGUUAAUCGGAAUUACUGGGCGUAAAGCGUGCGCAGGCGGUUAUGUAAGACAGAUGUGAAAUCCCCGGGCUCAACCUGGGAACUGCAUUUGUGACUGCAUGGCUAGAGUACGGUAGAGGGGGAUGGAAUUCCGCGUGUAGCAGUGAAAUGCGUAGAUAUGCGGAGGAACACCGAUGGCGAAGGCAAUCCCCUGGACCUGUACUGACGCUCAUGCACGAAAGCGUGGGGAGCAAACAGGAUUAGAUACCCUGGUAGUCCACGCCCUAAACGAUGUCAACUGGUUGUUGGGAAUUAGUUUUCUCAGUAACGAAGCUAACGCGUGAAGUUGACCGCCUGGGGAGUACGGCCGCAAGG